ensembl:lncRNA
AUGUUCUUGAGUCUCCAGAGUGAGCACAGCCCUGCCACCUCUGGAUUUCAGCCCAGUGGAAGUGCCUUCAGACUUCUGACCUCCAGAACUGUAAAAGUAUACAGAGUAGGCAUGAGUGCCACCUGGUCUCUCCACGGUCUCACUAGGUUGUCAUCCCUGAUGCUCCAACCUCACACAGAGGCUUCAGGACUCAGCCUGCGAAGUCAGAAAGAGUUGCUUCUUCCACAUCCUAUUCCCUGGGACACAGAAAGUUUUGAGUAAAAAUCUACCUCAACACAUCAUUCCUCAUAAGUGUCAAUUCUUACUCCACAGUUGAGUCCAAGAGCAAAGACACAUGAGCAGAGGCACAUUAGAAAGAAUAAGGUUUUAAUACACACAAUCUGGAAAGAUAAGGGCCCACUAAGGAAAACAGGCAAGGGGAGAAGUACCACCUGCAAAUAGCAGCAUGUAUCCAUACUGUCAGUUCAAAGAUUAGAGAACUGGCUAAAGACUUGGGGCAGCCAGAUUAACAGUCAAGCCAGGGAGAUCACGGCUGACACAUGCUGGUUUCUUCUAUCUUCCACCACAAGGGAGUGUCUCAAAUACUGUGGUUCCAACUGGGCUUAUCUGCCUCUUCCUGACCUCCAACACAAACACACACACACACACACACACGCACACACAAUGAGGUUUCGGGCCUUUGAUUCCUAAAGGGAGAGAGCAGCUUAAGUUUAAUUUAAAGGGACUGAGCCCCUUCCUCCGGAGGAAACAUUUGUUCAUGGAGAUCACAUGUGGAAGGAGACUUGCUCUUAUUUGUCCUGCAUCACACUAUCUGUGUGUACCAUCUGGGCCUCACAGGUGCUUUUUGUGUAUGGGGACCCCAUAAGUGUGUCCAGUCACAGCAUUUAUGGUGCUGUCCCCCAUCACACCAUCUGUUCUUUGUCCAGGUGGCCCUGGCUGCUGUGCCUGGUUGCUGUGCUGGCACAUCCUGGCCUCUCAUUAUAGCUAUGGUGGCAUUCACUGUAGAUGCACCAUUUGUGUUUUGUCCAGGUGGGUCAACCAUGGACUGAUGGAGAAAGGAAGCACAAGGGCCUCUGACAAUGGGAAUGUGGUUGCCUCCUCUUGGUGCAACACCUGAUUUCUGGAGUGGUGCAUGUGAGGUACUUGGCAUGAAGAUGGAACAAGUAGGGAUGGUGCUGGUGUUUUUGGCCACAACCAAUGUGAUGUGGACAGGUGAGCCCAAGGCUACCUGACCAGAUGGGAGAACAGAAGUGGUACUGGCGGUUCCCCUCUUUUCUGGUACAGCUUUUGGUCUUCAGAACUGGGGCCUCAGGCAGACGUGCUAACCCCAGUGUUCUUACCAUCUGUAGAGGCCCCAGGUCUCAUUAUCCCCCAUGGGCCUAGAGUAGAAUUGCCAACCAAUGUAGUACUGUCCCCAGGGCCAGGCAUCCCGGUGGUAACUCUAAAUGUAGAUGACUUGGCUAUGCCAAUGAAAGCACUUGGGUUUUUAAUCAUAUUAGACUGCACACUGAUAGGUAGGCCAAAUCCAAAAAUAUGGUGUCACACUGGUAAGGUCUGCUGCCAUGAUGCUGCCACUGGGUGGCUGGGAUGCAAGGAGACCUUAGGCCUAUAACUGGUGCUGGGGUUGCUAGGUUUCCCAGAAUAAAAGAAUGGCCUGACUUCUCCUGCCCAUGAGAAGGCCCAAAUAUGGAUCAUGGAUUUACAGCAUGGUGGGAAGUUGGGAUCAGUCCCAUGACUGACUGUGCAGGCAAACUGGUGAAGAUGUGGGCAGAGACAACGUUGCCACUGGAUUCUGUGUUACCAGGACCAUAAAACACCAGAUAAGAUGGGGUACACUUCUUCCUUGAGAUAGCAGCAGACUGAAAGAUGACAGCUUUUGAAUAAGGAGUCAUAUCCACAGUGCUACUGCCAAUGAUAGGUAUGGAUGAUGAUGCAGAGGCUCUACUCCCUAAACUGGGGGUGUCUGGAGGAGCCACCAAGAGAAGGCUUAGAAAAACAUGGGUACUGAGGGGACAGGCUUUCCAAUGUUGCCCAUCAGGGGCCCCCAGUGUGAGCUGAGCAGUGGAUCCCGAAUUUAUGUGGUUAGAAGUUAUGGUUGGUCCUACGGCUGACUGUGAAGGCAAACUGGUAGAGAUGUGAACAGAACAAAUGUUUCUACUGAGUUGUUUGUUUGUACAACAGGGAGCCCCAAAUAAGAUGAGGUGCACUUCUUCCUUGAGAAAGACGAGUUUGAUACCUGGCAGCUUCGAAAAAUAAGUGGUAGCCGUAGCCUUGCUGUCAAUGGUAGGAAAAAAAGAUGAUCUUGCAGAGGUGCCGCUUCCUAAACUGGAGGUGUCUGGGAGUUUCUGGGAAGUCUCAGAAAAUCACUGAGGAGAAAGGCUUUCCACUGCGGUCCAACAGGGGCCCACAGUGUUAGCUGAUCAGUGGCUCCCUGAUUUACAGUGUGGUUAGAAGUUACAGUUGGUCCUACAACUGACUGUCCGGGCAAACUGGUAGAGACAUGGACUGAGGCAACAUUGCCACUGGGUUGUGUGUUCCCGGAACCAGGGAGCCCCAGAUGCAAGGAAGAGAUGAGGAUGCUCUUCUUCCAUGAGACACUGGCAGACUGGAAGAUGACAGCUUUUGAAUAAGGGGUGGUAACCACAG